GAUGAACGCUGACAGAAUGCUUAACACAUCAGCAAUUGAUUGGUGGCGGACGGGUGAGUAACGCGUAAAGAACUUGCCUCACAGGUAGGGACAACAUUUGGAAACGAAUGCUAAUACCUAAUACUGUGAGAGAGCUUUGCGUACCAUUAGCUAGUGGGGGGGGUAACGGCUCACAAAGGCGAGUAUGGGGAGCCGGCCGGCGAGGGUGAGCGGCCACAAGGGGACUGAGACACGGCCCUGACGCCUACGGGAGGCAGCAGUGGGGAAGAUUGGACAAUGGACCAAAGUCUGAUCCAGCAAUUCUGUGUGCACGAUGAAGUUUUCGGAAUGUAAAGUGCUUUCAGUUGGGAAGCGGUACCAACAGAAGAAGUGACGGCUAAAUACGUGCCAGCCGCCGCGGUAAUAC
rnacentral:rRNA from 1 species